rnacentral:rRNA from 1 species
GACGAACGCUGGCGGCGCGCUUAACACAUGCAAGUCGAGCGAAGCGGCGGACGGGGGAGUAACACGUGAAUAACCUGCCUUAGACAUUGGGAUAGCCUCGGGAACCCGGAAUUAAUACCAAAUGGUCUAAGAUGGACUCGCGUCCCAUUAGCUAGUUGGUGGGUAACGGCCCACAAAAGCGACGAUGGGUAGCCGGCCUUAGAGGUGGAACGGCCACAUUGGAACUGAGAAACGGUCCAAACUCUACGGGAGGCAGCAGUGGUGAAUAUUGCACAAUGGAGGGAACUCUGAUGCAGUGACGCCGCGUGAACGAAGAAUGCUUUCGAGUCGUAAAGUUCUUUUAUAUGGGAAGCGGUACCAUAAGAAAAAGCCCCGGCUAACUACGUGCCAGCAGCCGCGGUAAUUC